GCCGCCGCUCCAUGGAAGCACCGCUGCCGGUACCACAUGGAGAGGAGCAGCUGAGAGUGGCACAAACAUGGUGGGUCAGCGAGAGCCAGUGACACCACUCGGGGGAGAAGCCAAGCCGAGAGAUAUCCUCGCGUGAUCGUCGGCGUCAUUAGCGAAGUCACCAGCUUGGUCGAGCUAGGCCCCCGCUCACCAGUGCGACUCGUGCUCCGUACACCAGCCAUGCUGGCCGAGCCUGUCGCCGCGAUGCGCUAGCUCGCGUGGGCCCUGCUGUGCGAACCCCACCCACCGCGUACGCCGGCGCCGGUCUCUGGUCGGGCACAGCUGCCAUGCGCCUGCGCGGGUGAUGCACAGAGCCACGGCCUCGUCCCGGCCGUUGCCAGCCGCGUCGCGCGAGGGACGCCUAGGCCCCGGCCCCCACAUCCUGCCGCCCGGAGCUCGCCGCUGUUGCCUGCCAUCAUCGCCGCCCGCCGCUCGGCACGGGCCACGCCGUUGUGGGCCAAGAGCAACAGCCGGUGCGCGCUGAGGUACAUCUCCAACGCUCCAGCCCCGCGCCCGUCGGCCCCGAUGGAGAAAUCCAUCACCGCAGCGUGAUUGUAGGGGUUGAGGACAUUGGCGUAGAGUUUGUUAUUUUCCUCUGCGGUAAAGCACGGUCAGUCAACCACUGAAUUGCAGAAAACCACCACAUUUAAGGCUUCAUUUGCGGAAAAUCAUCGGGUCAUUAAUUUUUUGUAAAGAUCAUCAUGGAUUUGAUAAACUUGUUGCAAAUAGCAUUAAUUGGGUGAUUUGCUGCGUUUGAUCACUUUCUGACAAGUGGGGCCGGGUUGUAAGGUGCUGACUUGGCAAAACAAUUGCAUACACACCCCUGAAUUUCACAAAUACACCCUUAUUAAAAAAAUUAAAAAAAGUAAUCAGCCCCCCUUUCACCCCCGUCGUCUGCCUCCUCCCAGGCAGCGGCGGCGAAGCCGGACACCAAAUCCGGCUAUACAGGAGACGACUGUCUUUUUUUUUUCCUUUCGUCUCUCCCGCGUCAGACUCAAUUCCCCUCCCGGCGAGGCACACACAGCGAGCUCGGCACGCGUAGGCGGCAAGAUGGGCGCGACAGACACUAGGGAGCGCGUGUGGGAAGGAGGGAGAUGAGGGGAGGGGGUAGUGAACCUGCGCUAGGGGCGGGCGAGGUUGGAAGCGCGGGCGCGGUCGGCGGGGUCGCCGCGGCGGCGGAAGAUGCAGGCGGAGAUGUCCGGGCCGACGAAGUUGAGGAAGCUCACGGGGUCCUGCGCUUCCUGCUAGUUGAACAUCGCCAUGGGGGAGCCGCGGCCGCGAGCGCCCACUACGAGGAGGCGCGAGGUGGACGGAGAAACGGAACCAGCAGGCUCCUUCUAUCCACAGAGACAAAGGUGAGAGGGAGCUUGAGAUCCCGACAGGUUCGCCGGUGGCAGGUAUCCCACCCUGAGCCGUCCCCCCUUCCAUCCUCCAUCCCGCCCACGAGCCCCAGCAAGGGACGACCUCCCUUAGCCGAGCACCUGGCGAACCAGCCUCCCUCCUCCCACGCGUGACAGCUCCGACCAGGGCGCGGCAUCCCGGCGGGUUUGGUCGAUUCGGUCCUUGCAGUUUGUGCACAGGGAUCUGAUUGAGUUUGUUUUUAGAUUCAGGGGUGUGUAUGCAAUUGUUUUGCCAAGUCAGCACCUUACAGCCCAGCCCCACUUGUCAGAAAGUGAUCAAACGCAGCAAAUCACCCGAUUAGUGCUAUUUGCAACAAGUUUACCGAAUCCGCGGUGAUCUUUGCAAAAAAUUAAUGACCCGGUGGUUUUCCGCAAAUGAAGCCCCAAAUGUGGUACUAGUUUUCUGCAAUUCACUCUCAGUCAACCUAAAUUCAUGGGAGCGUUCGCCCCUCGAUCCUUGGGGACAUGCGCCGCCGGCGCCGGACAGGGUCGGCCUGCGUGCGUGUUGCCGGGAGCCACCUUGGGCGCGUCUUCUCCUCUGCGGGCCCUGUUCUCCCUCCCUCAUGCGUUGCUUUGGGUUCCUCAAUGACAGGCUCCUCGCGCUUCCCGGUGGCGGCGGCUCGCUUGCAUUGCCGGGCGGCUUGCAUGCUCUUGGGAAUUUCUCGCUUUUGGAUGGAGGUUUUGUACGGGAAUUGAUUAGAUUGGGAGGUGAGCGCUAAUGAAGGAAGAGAGGUUAACCGAUGCAAGUCCACACCAUAGAAUUGCUAGAUCAAUGAGGGCGGUUAGAUUGAGAUUUCUGGACAAAUCGUGUGGUGCUGACUGGAUGGUGGGGGUGUUGUGGGACUAAUUGCGGGGUGCAUGUAAGAAAGUUCAUGUUCGAUUGUUUAAUAGUAGUGGAGAUGGGGAUUAGGCACGUCUUCUAUUCAUCGCAACAUUUGGUUGAUAGCCUGAAAUCACGCGUGAACAAGUACAACCUACAGGCAAUGUUUGGCCCAUCAUUGGUUUCGGUGCAUUCAAAGUAGUACUCCCUCCGUCUCAAAAUCUCUACUCUUAAUGGAGCAAUUGGUAGUCUCCGCCGGUCAAUUUUCAUCCCACCACUUUCGUCCGAUUUUUUUUCAUAGGUUAACUGUCGUAGAUUUUUUUCGUCGCCUCCCCCACCCCACCCCUACGCACACACUAAAAAAACCGGUUUUGAGCCCGUAUUUUUUCCUCUCGAUCCAGUUGCUUCCUCGAUCUAGGAAAUCCUAAGGCGUGGUCUUGGGACGCCGCCGCCGCCAUCGCUGGGGUUCCCAGCCGGCGCAGCCCAACCUCCGAGACCGCCGCAGCCGGCGCCAUCGCAACCCCAGGUCAGUGUAGUACUCAAAGGAGGUUGUGGCCCCCCCCAAUCCAUCUCAAUACCACCGCCCCGCCCAGGACGACAUGCAACGACCGGUGUUGGCGCGUCCUCGUGGGUGGCGGUGAGGAGGACGGCCAGUGGCAGCCCCCCGAAGCACCACCAUGACGACACCUCGCCGCGGCCGCUCGGCAUGGGUUGCCGCCCCGCGUCCUAGAGAUGGGGAAUCUUGUAGCUGGAGUCUGGAGAUGUAUACAUGGUUGACUCAAUCCUAAUUGUUGGAAACAAUAUCACAGAUCAAAGCUUUAUCGAGUCUCAUAAAAUGUGUGAGAAGUGUGAGAAUAGAGUUCUCAUGAAGGAGGCAUCAUGGGCAUUGUGAAACGUAGCAGCAGGCAAGUUUGGCGCGAGCUGAUGCGAUCCCGCUGUGGCAAUUGGGAUGGGUAGAUGGGGAGGCAUGGUGGAGGCCGGUGGCAGCAUCUGGAAGAAAACAAUGAGCGAGGCGGCGGCAGUGUACAGUGGCAUGGCCGUUGUGUUGCAGCCGUCGCAUAGACGUCGAAGGAGCACCAGCGACGCGCGCGCGCACACAGACACACACACUAAUGGUGCUGCUGGAGGCCAUGGGGCUGAGCAAGGAUGUGAGUGGGCACUGGUAGCAUUAUACUAUCAAGAACACCGGCAUGGCAUUGAUUCUUGCUAUCUAUAAUGCACGCGACACGCCAUGGUCAUCUUCCACCACACGACGCCUCCAACCCUCCAAAGCGUGUCACCUCAAUGGUCGUCGUCGCCUCAUGCUCCAGCUCUCCCAGCCACCGCCACAGGUCACCGCCUUUGUCCCUCCAAAGAACAGGGCCUCUCUUGUUGCAACCUCCUUACCACGGCGACCAACGACGAGGAGGAGCUGGGCGAGGCAGGGAGGCCAAGGGCGAAGUGUUGUGGGUGCUUCAUUCGGAUAGAACGUGUUGUAGCCUUGUAGGUCAAGGGCUGACUCCUUAAUAUCUUGCAGGCCUAAAGUUAUGUUAUUGGUUGCUACAGGUCACCACAUUCACUUCCUAGGGCCGCAGGCGGCAAUGGUGAGGAGGUGAGCGACAACGGGAAUCUAGGUGAAACUGAUGAGAAGUAGUGUCGCUUCCUCAAUUAUCUCUACUCCUAAUGGACGAAUUGGUUGAAUAGCCCCCCCCACUUUCAACUGGUUUAUUUUCAACCGGUUUUUUUCCAUCAAAUUACCCCCACCCCCACGCCCACCCACCGAAACGCGUCCAGCG